rfam:Pelosinus fermentans B4 ctg36, whole genome shotgun sequence.
AAAUGCCUGAAAUGCACGUUAUCUUUUUUAUGUCCAACCUACUUUUAUAACUGGGGAAUCUAAUGAUAUCUGGCUGCCGAGCCAUCAUUGAGUGGAAGGCAAAAGCAUAUCUAGGAUGCCCACCUGCGAGCUGCAGGUUUGGACAUAUCAAAGAGACGAUAUUAUGGGCUUUAU